UUCCAGAUGAUGAGUCCCAAAUAGGACGAAAUGAGCAUCCUGUUA
rnacentral:hammerhead_ribozyme from 1 species